UACGAAGGUCCCGAGCGUUGUUCGGAAUCACUGGGCGUAAAGGGUGCGUAGGCGGGUCUUUAAGUCAGGGGUGAAAUCCUGGAGCUCAACUCCAGAACUGCCUUUGAUACUGAAGAUCUUGAGUUCGGGAGAGGUGAGUGGAACUGCGAGUGUAGAGGUGAAAUUCGUAGAUAUUCGCAAGAACACCAGUGGCGAAGGCGGCUCACUGGCCCGAUACUGACGCUGAGGCACGAAAGCGUGGGGAGCAAACAGG
rnacentral:rRNA from 1 species